UAUUGCACAAUGGGCGCAAGCCUGAUGCAGCCAUGCCGCGUGUAUGAAGAAGGGCUUCGGGGUGUAAAGCUCUAUCAGCAGGGAAGAAAAUGACGGUACCUGAGUAAGAAGCCCCGGCUAACUACGUGCCAGCAGCCGCGGUAAUACGUAGGGGGCAAGCGUUAUCCGGAUUUACUGGGUGUAAAGGGAGCGUAGACGGUUAUGCAAGUCUGGAGUGAAAGCCCGGGGCUCAACCCCGGGACUGCUUUGGAAACUGUAAAACUGGAGUGCAGGAGAGGCAGGCGGAAUUCCUAGUGUAGCGGUGAAAUGCGUAGAUAUUAGGAGGAACACCAGUGGCGAAGGCGGCCUGCUGGACUGUAACUGACGUUGAGGCUCGAAGGCGUGGGGAGCAAA
rnacentral:rRNA from 1 species